AGGAAUAGUCAAAAAUAAGCUUCUAACUUAAUUUUAAAGCACAAGUGUUUAUAUUCCUA
rnacentral:tRNA from 1 species